rnacentral:lncRNA from 1 species
AUGUUGGAAAUGGAGUGCAGUUCAAAGGACUGCCUCUUGGCACGGAGGGCCUCUAUUCCACUGAUCUUAAUACAGCUACAGCAAACAGCAGGCACUCAAUGCUUGUUGGAGAAAAAUCCAAUCGAUUUCACUUUGGCAUCAGCUAUUCAGUUGGAAGCAGCUCAAGAAACAUACGGAUAUCAGAGAGGAGGGUGAGUGGCUUUCAAGGUCCAACUAAGGAGGUCACCUGAUCAUUCAGUGUUUGAAAGACACCAGCCAGCCACAGGCAUCCAUCUAACUGACCGGGCCAAUGAAAGACGGUGAGCAAAUAUUCCUGGGAGCUGUAUACGGAGGUAGAGACCCGAUUUCAGGACCAAUACUGCUCAAUACUUAAAGGCCAAUGCCGAAAAAUAAAAUGCAUUAUUCCCCC